rnacentral:rRNA from 1 species
UGGCUCAGGACGAACGCUGGCGGCGUGCUUAACACAUGCAAGUCGAACGAUGAUGCCCAGCUUGCUGGGCGGAUUAGUGGCGAACGGGUGAGUAAUACGUGAGUAACCUGCCCUUGACUCUGGGAUAAGCCUGGGAAACUGGGUCUAAUACUGGAUACUACCUCUUGCCGCAUGGUGGGUGGUGGAAAGGGUUUUACUGGUUUUGGAUGGGCUCACGGCCUAUCAGCUUGUUGGUGGGGUAAUGGCUCACCAAGGCGACGACGGGUAGCCGGCCUGAGAGGGUGACCGGCCACACUGGGACUGAGACACGGCCCAGACUCCUACGGGAGGCAGCAGUGGGGAAUAUUGCACAAUGGGCGGAAGCCUGAUGCAGCGACGCCGCGUGAGGGAUGACGGCCUUCGGGUUGUAAACCUCUUUCAGUAGGGAAGAAGCGAGAGUGACGGUACCUGCAGAAGAAGCGCCGGCUAACUACGUGCCAGCAGCCGCGGUAAUACGUAGGGCGCAAGCGUUGUCCGGAAUUAUUGGGCGUAAAGAGCUCGUAGGCGGUUUGUCGCGUCUGCUGUGAAAGCCCGGGGCUCAACCCCGGGUCUGCAGUGGGUACGGGCAGACUAGAGUGCAGUAGGGGAGACUGGAAUUCCUGGUGUAGCGGUGAAAUGCGCAGAUAUCAGGAGGAACACCGAUGGCGAAGGCAGGUCUCUGGGCUGUUACUGACGCUGAGGAGCGAAAGCAUGGGGAGCGAACAGGAUUAGAUACCCUGGUAGUCCAUGCCGUAAACGUUGGGCACUAGGUGUGGGGGACAUUCCACGUUUUCCGCGCCGUAGCUAACGCAUUAAGUGCCCCGCCUGGGGAGUACGGCCGCAAGGCUAAAACUCAAAGGAAUUGACGGGGGCCCGCACAAGCGGCGGAGCAUGCGGAUUAAUUCGAUGCAACGCGAAGAACCUUACCAAGGCUUGACAUUCACCGGACCGCCCCAGAGAUGGGGUUUCCCUUCGGGGCUGGUGGACAGGUGGUGCAUGGUUGUCGUCAGCUCGUGUCGUGAGAUGUUGGGUUAAGUCCCGCAACGAGCGCAACCCUCGUUCUAUGUUGCCAGCACGUGAUGGUGGGGACUCAUAGGAGACUGCCGGGGUCAACUCGGAGGAAGGUGGGGAUGACGUCAAAUCAUCAUGCCCCUUAUGUCUUGGGCUUCACGCAUGCUACAAUGGCCGGUACAAAGGGUUGCGAUACUGUGAGGUGGAGCUAAUCCCAAAAAGCCGGUCUCAGUUCGGAUUGAGGUCUGCAACUCGACCUCAUGAAGUCGGAGUCGCUAGUAAUCGCAGAUCAGCAACGCUGCGGUGAAUACGUUCCCGGGCCUUGUACACACCGCCCGUCA